AGAUUGAACGCUGGCGGAAUGCUUUACACAUGCAAGUCGAGCGGCAGCGCGGGGGCAACCCUGGCGGCGAGCGGCGAACGGGUGAGUAGUACAUCGGAACGUGUCCUGGAGUGGGGGAUAGCUCGGCGAAAGCCGGAUUAAUACCGCAUAAGCUCUAAGGAGGAAAGCGGGGGAUUCGCAAGGACCUCGCGCUGUUGGAGCGGCCGAUGUCGGAUUAGCUAGUUGGUGGGGUAAAGGCCCACCAAGGCGACGAUCCGUAGCUGGUCUGAGGGAUGAUCAGCCACACUGGAACUGAGACACGGUCCAGACUCCUACGGGAGGCAGCAGGUGGGAAUUUUGGACAAGUGGGGACAACCUGAUACCAGCCAUCCGCGUGA
rnacentral:rRNA from 1 species